AUUGAACGCUGGCGGCAUGCCUUACACAUGCAAGUCGAACGGCAGCACGGGAGCAAUCCUGGUGGCGAGUGGCGAACGGGUGAGUAAUAUAUCGGAACGUGCCCGGUCGUGGGGGAUAACGUAGCGAAAGCUACGCUAAUACCGCAUACGAUCUACGGAUGAAAGCGGGGGAUCGCAAGACCUCGCGCGAUUGGAGCGGCCGAUAUCAGAUUAGGUAGUUGGUGAGGUAAAGGCUCACCAAGCCGACGAUCUGUAGCUGGUCUGAGAGGACGACCCAGCCACACUGGGACUGAGACACGGCCCAGACUCCUACGGGAGGCAGCAGUGGGGAAUUUUGGACAAUGGGCGCAAGCCUGAUCCAGCAAUGCCGCGUGCAGGAUGAAGGCCUUCGGGUUGUAAACUGCUUUUGUACGGAACGAAACGGUGAGCUCUAAUACAGUUUGCUAAUGACGGUACCGUAAGAAUAAGCACCGGCUAACUACGUG
rnacentral:rRNA from 1 species